rnacentral:rRNA from 1 species
CCUACGGGAGGCUGCAGUGGGGGAUUUUGCGCAAUGGGGGAAACCCUGACGCAGCGACGCCGUGUGAGUGAUGAAGGCUUUCGGGUCGUAAAGCUCUGUCAGGUGGGAAGAAAUAUCCUGAUAUGAAUAGUAUCGGGGUUUGACGGUACCACCAAAGGAAGCACCGGCUAACUCCGUGCCAGCAGCCGCGGUAAUACGGAGGGUGCAAGCGUUGUUCGGAAUUAUUGGGCGUAAAGAGCGUGUAGGCGGCUGAAUAAGUCAGAUGUGAAAUCCCUCGGCUCAACCGAGGAACUGCAUUUGAAACUGUUCAGCUUGAGUACGGGAGAGGAGAGUGGAAUUCCUGGUGUAGCGGUGAAAUGCGUAGAUAUCAGGAGGAACACCGGUGGCGAAGGCGGCUCUCUGGCCCGAUACUGACGCUGAGGCGCGAAAGCGUGGGGAGCAAACAGGAUUAGAUACCCCUGUAGUCC